rnacentral:rRNA from 1 species
UACGUAGGGUGCGAGCGUUAAUCGGAAUUACUGGGCGUAAAGCGUGCGCAGGCGGUUCUGCAAGUCAGAUGUGAAAUCCCCGGGCUUAACCUGGGAACUGCGUUUGAAACUACGGAGCUAGAGUGCGGCAGAGGGGGGUGGAAUUCCACGUGUAGUGGUGAAAUACGUAGAGAUUGGGAAGAACACCAGUGGCGAAGGCGGCUAUCUGGACGGUUUCUGACACUAAGACUCGAAAGCGAUGGGGAGGCAAACAGG